rnacentral:rRNA from 1 species
GAUGAACGCUGGCGGCGCGCCUAACACAUGCAAGUCGAACGGUUAAAGCACCUUUUAGGUGUGUAUAAAGUGGCGAACGGCUGAGUAACACGUGGGCAACCUGCCCUCCUCUUGGGGAUAGCCUCGGGAAACCGAGGAUAAUACCCGAUACUUCAAUGUGGCCGCAUGACGACAUUGAGAAAGCUUUUGCGGAGAAGGAUGGGCCCGCGGCCUGUUAGCUUGUUGGUGGGGUAGAGGCCUACCAAGGCAAUGAUGGGUAGCUGGGUUGAGAGACCGACCAGCCAGAUUGGGACUGAGACACGGCCCAGACUCCUACGGGAGGCAGCAGUGGGGAAUCUUGCACAAUGGGCGAAAGCCUGAUGCAGCGACGCCGCGUGCGGGAAGAAGGCCUUCGGGUUGUAAACCGCUUUCAGCAGGGACGAGGCGAAAGUGACGGUACCUGCAGAAGAAGCCCCGGCUAACUACGUGCCAGCAGCCGCGGUAAUACGUAGGGGGCAAGCGUUAUCCGGAUUCAUUGGGCGUAAAGCGCUCGUAGGCGGUCUGUUAGGUCGGGAGUUAAAUCCGGAGGCUCAACCUCCGCCCGCUCCCGAUACCGGCAGACUUGAGUUUGGUAGGGGAAGGUGGAAUUCCUAGUGUAGCGGUGGAAUGCGCAGAUAUUAGGAAGAACACCAGUGGCGAAGGCGGCCUUCUGGGCCAUAACUGACGCUGAGGAGCGAAAGCUAGGGGAGCAAACAGG